UGGGAGGAAACCAGGGGAUCGUAAGACCUCGCGUUAUUGGAGCGGCCGAUGCCGGAUUAGCUAGUUGGUGAGGUAAGAGCUCACCAAGGCGACGAUCCGUAGCUGGUCUGAGAGGACGACCAGCCACACUGGGACUGAGACACGGCCCAGACUCCUACGGGAGGCAGCAGUGGGGAAUUUUGGACAAUGGGCGCAAGCCUGAUCCAGCCAUGCCGCGUGAGUGAAGAAGGCCUUCGGGUUGUAAAGCUCUUUCGCAAGGAAAGAAAACUUAUCUACUAAUACUAGGUGAGGUUGACGGUACCUUGAUAAGAAGCACCGGCUAACUACGUGCCAGCAGCCGCGGUAAUACGUAGGGUGCGAGCGUUAAUCGGAAUUACUGGGCGUAAAGCGUGCGCAGGCGGUUUUGUAAGUCAGAUGUGAAUCCCGAGCUCAACCCCAAU
rnacentral:rRNA from 1 species